rnacentral:rRNA from 1 species
AGCGGAGGAAAAGAAACCAACAGGGAUUGCCCCAGUAACGGCGAGUGAAGCGGCAACAGCUCAAAUUUGAAAUCUGGCCCCCCGGCCCGAGUUGUAAUUUGCAGAGGAUGCUUUUGGUGAGGCACCUACCGAGUCCCCUGGAAUGGGGCGCCAUAGAGGGUGAGAGCCCCGUAUGGUAGGACGCCGAACCUCUGUAAAGCUCCUUCGACGAGUCGAGUAGUUUGGGAAUGCUGCUCUAAAUGGGAGGUAAAUUUCUUCUAAAGCUAAAUACCGGCCAGAGACCGAUAGCGCACAAGUAGAGUGAUCGAAAGAUGAAAAGCACUUUGAAAAGAGGGUUAAAAAGUACGUGAAAUUGUUGAAAGGGAAGCGCUUGUGACCAGACUUGCGCCGGGCGGAUCAUCCAGCGUUCUCGCUGGUGCACUCCGCCCGGUUCAGGCCAGCAUCGGUUUUCGCCGGGGGACAAAGGCUUCGGGAACGUGGCUCCUCUCGGGGAGUGUUAUAGCCCGUUGCGUAAUACCCCGGCGGGGACCGACGACCGCGCUUCGGCAAGGAUGCUGGCGUAAUGGUCAUCAGCGACCCGUCUUGAAACACGGACCGAGGAGUCAAGCAUUAGUGCGAGUGUUUGGGUGUAAAACCCGCACGCGUAAUGAAAGUGAACGUAGGUGAGAGCUUCGGCGCAUCAUCGACCGAUCCUGAUGUUUUCGGAAGGAUUUGAGUAGGAGCAUUAACGCUUGGACCCGAAAGAUGGUGAACUAUACUUGAAUAGGGUGAAGCCAGAGGAAACUCUGGUGGAGGCUCGCAGCGGUUCUGACGUGCAAAUCGAUCGUCAAAUUUGAGUAUAGGGGCGAAAGACUAAUCGAACCAUCUAGUAGCUGGUUUCAGCCGAA